AGCACCGGCUAACUACGUGCCAGCAGCCGCGGUAAUACGUAGGGUGCAAGCGUUAUCCGGAAUUAUUGGGCGUAAAGGGCUCGUAGGCGGUUCGUCGCGUCCGGUGUGAAAGUCCAUCGCUUAACGGUGGAUCCGCGCCGGGUACGGGCGGGCUUGAGUGCGGUAGGGGAGACUGGAAUUCCCGGUGUAACGGUGGAAUGUGUAGAUAUCGGGAAGAACACCAAUGGCGAAGGCAGGUCUCUGGGCCGUCACUGACGCUGAGGAGCGAAAGCGUGGGGAGCGAACAGGAUUAGAUACCCUGGUAGUCCACGCCGUAAACGGUGGAUGCUGGAUGUGGGGACCAUUCCACGGUCUCCGUGUCGGAGCCAACGCGUUAAGCAUCCCGCCUGGGGAGUACGGCCGCAAGGCUAAAACUCAAAGAAAUUGACGGGGGCCCGCACAAGCGGCGGAGCAUGCGGAUUAAUUCGAUGCAACGCGAAGAACCUUACCUGGGCUUGACAUGUUCCCGACGACGCCAGAGAUGGCGUUUCCCUUCGGGGCGGGUUCACAGGUGGUGCAUGGUCGUCGUCAGCUCGUGUCGUGAGAUGUUGGGUUAAGUCCCGCAACGAGCGCAACCCUCGCCCUGUGUUGCCAGCACGUCGUGGUGGGAACUCACGGGGGACCGCCGGGGUCAACUCGGAGGAAGGUGGGGAUGACGUCAGAUCAUCAUGCCCCUUACGUCCAGGGCUUCACGCAUGCUACAAUGGCCGGUACAACGGGAUGCGACACUGUGAGGCGGAGCGGAUCCCUUAAAACCGGUCUCAGUUCGGAUUGGAGUCUGCAACCCGACUCCAUGAAGGCGGAGUCGCUAGUAAUCGCGGAUCAGCAACGCCGCGGUGAAUGCGUUCCCGGGCCUUGUACACACCGCCCGUCAAGUCAUGAAAGUGGGCAGCACCCGAAGCCGGUGGCCUAACCCCUUGUGGGAUGGAGCCGUCUAAGGUGAGGCUCGUGAUUGGGACUAAGUCGUAACAAGGUAGCCGUACCGGAAGGUGCGGCUG
rnacentral:rRNA from 1 species